UACGGGGGGGGCAAGCGUUGUUCGGAAUUACUGGGCGUAAAGGGCUCGUAGGCGGCCAACUAAGUCAGACGUGAAAUCCCUCGGCUUAACCGGGGAACUGCGUCUGAUACUGGAUGGCUUGAGUUUGGGAGAGGGAUGCGGAAUUCCAGGUGUAGCGGUGAAAUGCGUAGAUAUCUGGAGGAAGACCAGUGGCGAAGGCGGGUCUCUGGACAGUUCCUGACACUGAGGCACGAAGGCCAGGGGAGCAAACGGG
rnacentral:rRNA from 1 species